rnacentral:rRNA from 1 species
UACUUCCUACGGGGCGCAGCAGUGGGGAAUAUUGCACAAUGGGGGAAACCCUGAUGCAGCGAUGCCGCGUGGAGGAAGAAGGGUUUCGGAUUGUAAACUCCUUUUAUCAGGGACGAUAAUGACGGUACCUGAAGAAGAAGCCCCGGCUAACUACGUGCCAGCAGCCGCGGUAAUACGUAGGGGGCAAGCGUUAUCCGGAUUUACUGGGUGUAAAGGGGGCGCAGACGGCGAUGCAAGCCAGGAGUGAAAGCCCGGGGCCCAACCCCGGGACUGCUCUUGGAACUGCGUGGCUGGAGUGCAGGAGG